AUAAUGAAAUUACCUUCAAAAUGGCAACAAGUUAUCGAACAAAACGGCGCAUAUUUGACCUAAAUCGGAUCAUUCUAACUAUGCUUACAACACCUAUUGUAGACCAGGCCUUAUUGUACCAAUUCAGCAAUGUAGACAAAGGCUGGUGAGUGGCGUAAGAGCAUCUAUUGUAUGCACAGAGCCAUCUAUUGAAGAAGAAGAUAAAGGCUAUGUUCAGAAAACACAACGGUUACACAACGGUUGAGUAAUUCGUCAACGUUAGUAGUCUGUAAGGAUCUAACAGUAAGGACCAAUAGUUACUAAGCGCUCAGUGAGCGCUUUGUUUUCUGAACGCAACCAAAAAGAACAGGAGAAUAGCAUAUGGGUACACCUUUCUACCUAAAGCCAUAUACCGAACAAACGACAAAAAGAACGAAAAGAACAGCCAUGUGAAAAUUAGGAUAUAUAUAUAUUUCAUACACCAUCUCCUGUCUUUCUCCUUCCCUCCUUUCUCUUUCGCUCCUUCUCACUCUCACUCCUAACAUAGACCCAAGUUCAAGACCUUUAAUGUCUGUGAUUAUUAGACUAAAACUGAAAAUACAAAAAUAAGCUAAGAUUGUUAUAUCAAAUUGUGAAAAAUAUAAACAAAUAAAAUGAAAUGGAACAGCAUUUGAUACUCUGUAAACAUA